UUGGAGGUACAACAAGUAUGUAUAUAACUUGGUCAGGGUCGGAAGACAGCAGCCAUACAAACCUCUACUUGUGUGUACCUUUUAUUU
rnacentral:SRP_RNA from 1 species